CCUCCUCGCACCACCUCUGGCACCCAGGUGUCUGCCGGGGGACCUUCCUUCCCUGAGCCUGGCCGUGCCCGGCGCUCAAACUUGACCGCAACUCUUUGUCCCUCUCUCGGGCGGCCGGGGAGGGGAAGGGACCGGGAAGCGAGGGAUGAGCUGGGGUGUCCGGAUCGGGGCUGCCGGCUGGACGCUGCCCCGCCGUGCGCCUGCCCGGAAUGCUGUGAGUCCGUGGAGAGAGAAAGCCCAUUUUAUCACUCUCUUUAAAAGGAGGUAAAAUAAGUUGGUUAGAGGCCAUUCUUCACGGGGACUGGCUGCCCGCUGGCGUCGCGUGCCCUUGGACGGACCGAGCGCCUAUGCGAGAUAACUCCAGGGAAGCUCAAAGUCAGAUCGAUUCUGUUAAAGUGUAUGCAAAAAAGAAAGAAAUAAGAAAGAAAAAGAAAAGAGAAAGAAGAAAACCAACAACUAACUCUGUUUCUAAGAUUUUAAAGCGAUAGGCAAGUCGAAGAAGCAGAGAUUUAUUUGGAGAGAAAUCUCCUGAAACGGACCCGGCCUUUGGAAGACCAGUCCGCCUGCUUAGAAGUUGGGACUGUUGAUUCCUUCAAUUAAUGAAAUGCAUUUGGUGUUGUUAAUCGUAUUUAUUUUACUUUAUGGGCGGGGGGGUGGGGGGAGACUCUAGGAGGGUGCAUUAAAAAAAAAAAAAUUCUGAAAAGCCUGCAAAAAGAUCGAAGAGUGGAAACUAUUGUUGGAGCGAGUUGGUUUUUACCUCAACAGCGCCACCUUUCGGCAAAGGGUUCUUCCUUGGAAAACAAUAUACAUCACUUAAUGAAAUCUGUUUGUUUUGCACAAGAGAUAUAAAAAAUCCAGACGUUUUCUUCAGUGAGAAUUCCUGGGAAGGUGUACCAACCUUCUUCGCUUUCUUCACCUGACAAAGACCCAACACGGCCGCGCAGACUGGAGAAUUCACCUUGUGGAACCUCAGGCUGGAGGAAGUUUGGGGAUCUGAUCUGAACACCGUCCUGCCAACCAGUAUAGGAGCUUGAACCUGGUUUAGAUCACCAACUUCCCUGCCAUUUCCUGAUGCCAAUUUUGAAGCCGGGGAGCUCAGAGGCAUUUUCUUCAACAGAAGAGUUCAGAGUUUCAGUGUCUACCUUUGAGCUACAACUGGUCCCUCAGUGAUGUAAAUAUGCAGGCUGUUGCAGACUCUCCUGUUCCAGGAUCCCACCUCGACCCCUUUCAGAGAAAUCUGGGAAUGAGAGAAGGAACCAGCCCAGAAGUGAUUUAUGACCUGCUGUCUGUGUCCUGCCUGAGGAAGCAUGGCUCUGGCUGUUUCAAGCAGACCCAGCCUGGGAUCCUCAGAGACUGGAAGGAGUGAUGGACACCCGUCAGGGAAACAUCACUGACCGUUGACUCUCAGCUCAGCUUGAAGCUGCUGAUGAGGGGCUAGGCUUGGUCGCUGUCACAGUGAUGUGAGCUCACGCAGUUGGGGCUGGGGAAGAAGGACCGACCAGGAGACACAGCAUCUGAGGUCAGCACCCAGGUCUUCCUCUGACUCACCCUCUGACCUCCUCAAAGCCCUUCACUCUCUUCCUUCAACUCAUUUUUUAGGCUGCAAGUGGACUGAACUGCAUGAAGCAGUUAAAACAAACCUGCUUGCAUGGGAGGAGUGUUCCUAGCCAUUUGAGGCUGAAUACAGGUGUUGUCCUCUCCUUCUGGUCAAGUCUUUUCAACACAGCAGCAGGGAACAGAGUCUCUCACUCAACAGACACUUUCAGAGCUUACAUGGUGAAUAAGAAGAGGAUGGUACUGUCUAGUAAGCUGGCUUUAAAACAUAAACUGGGUCGUGUGACUCACUGUCUGAAAUUGUUCAUCACAACUGGAAUAGAAGCUCAGCUUCUCACUAGGAUCUACAAGGUCCAGAAGCCCUCUGCUUUGCCCUCCAUUCUGAUUAUUUUUCAGUCACUCUGGUCUUUUUUGGACAUUGCCUCUUUCCUGCAUUAAACCCUUGUGCAUAUAAAUUAUUUUCUUUCCUCUGUCUAGAUUGGAACACAGCAUUUUUCAAAUAGCUGGUUAAAUGAAUGAGUGAAUAAAUUGAAUUCAAUAAGCUCAGCGUAUUAACCUACUCAAGGCCACAGAACUGUUUGAUAGCAGAGUCUCUACCAGAUUCUUAUAUCGGAGGGUUUUUGGCUUGUUUUUAAUCUUUGUUCUAGAUGAUUAGCUAAUAUAUUAUAGACCCUCUUCUACCUCUGUAUGACAGUUUCUCAACCUUAGCACCGUUGACGUUAAAGCUGGAUGAUUGUUUGUGGUGGGGGGCUGUUCUGUAAAUUGUAGGGUGUUUAGCAGCAUCUCUGGCCUCUACCCUGUGAUUAGCAACCACUCUCCACAUGUUGUGACAACCAAAAAUGUGUUUAGACAUUGCCAAAUGUCCUUGGGGGACAAAAUCACCCAAUUGAGAACCACUGCUCUACAGCUAUUGUCUUGUUCAAUGAAUAUUGGUGUUAGAACAGCCCAGGGCAUUUUCCAAUCCCUGCUCACCAGAGAGAGACUUGUGUCUGAUUACCCUUUAAUAAGUUGGGAAAUGAGACCAAUAUUAAUUCAGAAGGAAUUUUAACAGUAUAGUCAAACAUACAAAAGGGUUUUAUGAUUAAUUUGUAGUUAAUGAGAGUAUUUAGUCUAUCAGAUUCCCCGUUCUUCCAGAAUUUUGGUUGAUUACUAUGAACUGAGUGAGAUUCCCAACCACACGGGGUCAGGCAGGUGGUGAGAUCUUGCCCUUUAAGGACCCAUUUCCUCAAAGUGUUUUUCUGGGCUGCUUGGGGCAUCCAUUCCCAGGAUCAGAACUUCGCGGCAAUCAGAGCAACAGGAAGGGUGAACAGAAAGAGACCCCAUGACAAACGGGGUCCAUUUUCAAGUAUUUCAUGUUCAUUUCAGCAGCUUGUACCUCUCCCCAUCCAGCCUUAGGACUCAACCUGAGAAGCAGAAAUGAACACAAUUGCACUGAGCCAGUGACUUUCCAGAUCCAUGGUGCUCCUUGGUUCCUGCAGUGCUGUUCAAACUUCGAAAGUGGGGUUGGAGGCUCCGUUAAUAACUCCUGUGAAAAUAUGAGCGAUCUUAGCUGGAAAUGUCUAAGUACAAGAUUCAUCUUUUCCUCCUUGGCAGAAUCAAUAAAUUUGCAUGAUGCAUAUUAAAUGUUUAAUUAAAGCCCAACGCUAAAGCAUUUUCAGGAAGUUAUAUAAGUCCUUUGGAGGGGGUCUGGAAUCCAGGGGUUCUUCUGAGUUUUCCAGGCAUGCCUCCAUCCAUCAGACUCCAGUGUCCACCUUAGUUCUGUUUCUCUUUGGUGCCUGGGUUGUUUUGCAGGUAUGGGAGCUGCUUGAUGUACUGGCGCGACGACAUUCAGAUGACUGUUAGGAUUUUAAACACUGGAGCCUUUAAGGGCAGAAUCACCAAACUCCUUCCUGUUAGGAUCCAUGCUGGUGUCCACCUCUUGUCCCCUCCCACAUUGAGAAGGGAGCUGGGUAUUUAGCACAGAUCCUGUGUUGGAGAAACACAAAGAUCCUAAGAACAAUUUGAAGCUUAAGGGGAGAAAGUGCUUAGAGACAGACUUUUGCUUUUUUGGCUCUAAUUGCCAGCCAGACUGCCUGGGGUCUUGACGUUGGAUGUACUCCCGAGCAGAGAAGCCAGGCUCAGAUGACGUGCCCUAGGUGCCCUCACACUGCAGGAUGAAACCUUAUUUAGUAGCUGUAUUAAUUGAAUCCUCACUUCGCGUGGAUUGAUGGAAUUCAUAUCAGAAUGGCCUCUCGCUGUUGGAGAUGUCCCUCGAUUAUUUCCUCUGCCCUCCAAAACAGGAACUUCCAUUGCUGAAUGUUUUUUCUGUUUGCUUAUUCAUUCAUACAUUCGCUCCCCAUUCCACUCACUCACCCAUUCCACAAAAGCCUAUUUAGAACCCACUUUGGAUUUUACAAUGCAUUUGUUCUAAUAGUUGGCUGUUAUAGAGCAUCUACUAACGCCUGCUACUGCUGUAAACAAUUUAAUUACAUCACCUUCUUGAAUCGCCAUAAGGACCCCAGAAGGUGGGGAGGGUGGUCAUUUCUCCCUCUCUGCAUCAAUCCCUCUGCUUGCUUUUCUGUGUGCUUAUGUUUUCCCAGUCGUCCUAGUUUCUUUCACCUCCUAUUUCCUUUUGCUUUAUCUUCCCUGUAUCCUUAGCUGACCACAUUUUAAAAUGGUGGUUGUUAUAUUUUGAAUGCACAUUCUGUUAUCUUUUCUUCUUACAUUUAAAAUCCAGUCCCUGACUCUGGCUCCAGCAUCUGUUUGAGCCACACCCAUGUAGCUGUCUGUUCCAGCCUUGCUAGUUUUCUUCUUCUGCCUCUCAUGCUUGCCCCCAUCUCAGAGACUUUGCACAUUCUCUCUACUUCUUCCCAUCAUCAUUUUCCUGAAUCCUGUUUGCACUGUUGACCCUGUUUUAGUACAACCUUGUGAGCCAAGAACAUUUUUUUGUACUUUAAGGGUUUUUUUUUUUUUUAAGAAGAAAGAGGGGAAGAAGGAGGAAAAAAUGGGGAGGAAUACCAGUAGCAGUGGCAACAAAGACUGCAAGAUAAAUAAAGCUUAAAAUAAUUGCUAUUUGUUUCUUUACAGAAAACGUUUGCUGUCUCAGUGGAUGUCUCCAUCAUGAGACCGUGAGCUCCAUAUGGAGAGAUAUUUCUUGCUCACCAUUUUUUCCCAUGUGCCUAGUGCAAUGCCUAGAACAUAGCAAGUCCUGAGUGACCUGGUCAGAUGGCAGAAUGAAUGAAUGAAUGAAUGAAUGAAUGAAGAGUUCUCAUCUUCUCACCUUUAAAUCUCCCACUGCUUUGCUCUGAAGUCUAUUUGAUGUUCACAGCCACCUCUUAAGUGAUGGACUUCUUUCUCAUCUCUUACCCAGUGAUACUGCCUCUCAACUCAUGUCUGAUCCAUCCAAUAUCUCUCUCCAAAUUUUCCCUCAUCUGUGGCUUUUCUGGUCAAAAAACAAACAAACAAACAAAAAAACAGAAACAAAAUCGAAAAAUGUUUGUAAAAUGUGUUGUAAAUUCACAUUUUAAAAAAUCAACAAUAUGUUGUAAAAUGUAAACCUUAUCAUGCCUCAGUCCCUCUUAAAAUCUGUAGCUCUCAUCAUCUUCAGGGUCAAGUCCAAAUCCCGUAACAUGCACACAGGGAGGCUCACAGUCAGGUCCCACCAGUACCUCCAAUGGCUCUGCACCCUUGCUCCCCUUCUGCAGCACAUGGCUCCCAGCCCCUCAAACCCUUGCAGAUCCCAGGGUGUGCCUUCUUUCUCUCACUUCUGUGCAUCUCCAUGUUGUUCCUUCUGCUUGUCCUUCUGGUGAACUGCAGUGCACAAUGGCCUUCAGGACACAACUCCACUCUCACCUCCUCUGGGAAUCUUUCUCUGACUCCUCAGGCCAAGCUGAAUGUGCUUCCUUCCUGCCCAGACGCCUCCCUGAUUUACAUCUAUCCAAACACUGACAGUCCUGGGCUGUAAUUACUUGUUUGAGCAUUUCUCUCUCCCUUUAGUCUGGGAAUUUAUUGAGGACAGGACGAUGCCUAAAUUCGUCUUGUGUUCUUUGCACCCUUGAUGGUCUGCAGCCUACACUGAAUGCUCAGAAUUGCAGCUGACAAACUGAUUGGACAAAUGAAUGAAUGAAUGAUGACCAAAGUGGUUUCCCAUUAGCAAGGUAAGGAUGGAAUCACAGGUUAUUAUUAUUAUUAUUAUUAUUAUUAUUUUAAAUGUCUAAACUCAUUUAGUCUUUGCAACAUCAAAACACUGUUGGCAAUUUCCUUUACAACUCAUGGCUAAUUUACAGAAGGGAUUUUUAUAAAAAUGGUUUCCUUCAUUCCCAUGGAUGGUCAUGCUACCUGGGAGGCAGGUACUGAGGUAGCAGCCAUCCUGGUGGCUUUCAGAGGUCCUCAGCCUUCCUUUUGACUAGCUCCAAAGCACUAUGGGAGGCUUCAGGAGUGGAAACCUUGCUGACUCAGAUUUCAAAGUUUGCUGCAAGUAAAUUUCAAAGUUUUCAGUAAGGUGCAACCCUAUUUAUAUGGACAACCAGUAGGUAACCCUAAAAAAUUUAUCUCUUCCAGGGUGGUGCAAGCAUUGUGAGCUUGUUAUCCAUUCAUUUUUCUGUUUUAAUUUCUGGAACUAUUAUCAUGAUAUUGUUUGGCCAAGAAAUAAAAUCAAUAUUUAGCGGUCAGAGGCAUCUCUACUUGGAUGCCUAGGUUGGAAAUCAGUUGUGUGAGAAAGAAUAUUUUUCAGGCCAGUUUCUGAGAAGUUGGAGAUAUUGUUAAACACUUAAUGAACAUCUCUGGUUGUGGGGUAGUGUGCAUCAAACAGGUGCUACAAGUAGAGUGGUUGAGAGUUUUAGUGGUCUGAGUUAGAUGAGGGUUCACAUUUAGCCUGCUAGAAACCAACUGUGUUAUUUUGGACAAAUGAACAUGCUCUCCCUAGACCUUGGAUUCUUUGCUGAAAACUCAGUUGUGGCAAAUGUUUAAUGAGAUAAUGCAUACACUAUGCCCUGCACAGUGCCUGGCAUGCAAUAAGUGCUCAGUUUCUAUCAGCUACUGUGGAAAGCAGGCUGGUCUGAAGCAGGAUCAUUAACUUGAAGUAUUAAUGAUCUGUUAUCACUCAUAUCUUUAUUGUCCUUUUUGUACUUUCUAAAUUUUCUGUAAUAAACAAAAAGUACUGUCACAAUCAGAAAAAAAAGUAAUAAAUUUGAUUUAUACUGUUAGGGUCUUCAAGGGCCCCCAGAUGAACUGAUAUCAUGCACACACACCUACUGCAAGGGUCUCAUGAACUCCCUCAAACUCUCAAAGUCAUCCAUGACUCAAGAAAAAUGUUCUCACUGAUGUAAAAAGAAGGCAGGAGAAGAAAUGCAUCUGGGCCAUAGAGGAGAGUUCUGUUACGGUGACAGUGCCUGCUGUCACCUCCAUAACUCACAAGGCACCUGGUCAGCUACGUUCUAUGAUCUGUUGGGAAUGCAGGACUAGAGUUCCUGAGAAAGGUCCCAGCUGGAGAACAUAGACUCGGGGCCCCAAGAGAAGAAGGAGGGAAUGUGGGAAUGGAGGUGCCAUCAAAGGAGAGAAUUUAGAAAAGAUAUGAAGGUCAGGAGGUUAGGAGAUUCUAGUUUUCAACCUCUCUGCACAGUCAAAAAUGCAUCCCCAAAGGUCGGAAGUGACAGCAGGCACUGUAAUGGACCACACACACUGAGUUUUCAGGAGACUAACCAACCCUUCACGUGGUCUUCCGACAGCUGUCAUUCAAGGCGAUUAUAAAUCCCCUCCUGCCACAUCCACCCGGCUGUCUUCCUCACUGUUCCUUCCUUGGGGUCAGAGGUCAUGCAGCAAAGUGGGUUUCCCUGUAACCACAAUGCAGCUCCCCUAACCUUUUUGGGGCAGAUCCAACUGCAUUUUGAAGAAAUAUUUUGCUAACGAAAAAUGACCAGGAUUCUAAAAUUUGCCUUCUUUGGCAUUUUUAUAAAUCAAAUUUAUUACUUCUUUUUCUGAUUAUGAGACUACUUUUUGUUUAUUACAGAAAAUUUAGAAAGUACAAAAAGGACAAUAAAGAUAUGAGUGAUGAUAACUCAGAAACAGUGGUUGCCCAUAGUGUUUUCUUUCAAGUUAUUUAUUGGAAUGCAUACAAAACAUAUUUACACAAAUAUGCAAAUGUCUACUUAAAAAUAUUUUUAAGAGAGCUGAGAUCAAAUUGAGUGUACCAUUUAUAUCCCACUUCUAUAUGGCAUUUUAUAUCCUACUUUCUACUUCAUGAUAUACCAAUCCAUACCUUUCUGAGUCAUUAACUACUCUUUGAAAGCAUGUCUUUAUUGGACACACAAAAUUUAAUCACGUGAUUAUAAAAAUAAUGUAUUUGAUUAUUUUGCUUAUUUGGGGCCAUUGAGAUCCUUUCCAGUUUUUCAGUAAUACACCAACUGCUUUGAUCCAUAUCCAUACACACGGUUGCUGAAUAUCUGAUCAUUUCCCUAAGAUAAAUAUGAAAACUUUGGGCUGCUAAGCAAAAAGGUGUAAAUAUUUUAGGGAUUUGAUAUGACAAAGUUAUUUUAUAAAAAAGUGGCAUCUGUUUUCUACACUGUUGCUAAUGUAAUGUGAUGCACAGUUUUUAAAAAUCUACAUCAAUUUGAAAAACAGUAUCUCUCUUUUAAUAGCAUUUUAACAGCCAGCCUUGGAAUGUUUUCCCUUGACAUCUCUGAAUUCUUGUUCAAACCCAGGGGCAUCCCCCAAAAGUCUCCCAAGUAGCAAAUAAGGGACUAAUUAGGCAACUCUGUAGACAUAUCUACAUUUGUUUUUCUGGAAAGAUAACCAUAUGCGUGUUCACCUAGUUACAUAGUACAUAUGUCACAUAAAGAACAACAAACGCCAAAUCCAGUUCACUUCAAAAGAGAAGAUGAAGGGCAUCUUUUGAGAGUCCUGUUUAAAUCGUUAGUUAUAUAAAUUAACGACUCAGCCAUAAGCUAUGGUGCCUGGUCCACAGCCAAGAAUAGCAGAUCAUGUUUAGCUGAACCUCUUUCAAGAACAGAAGAUAGAAAGAAACCUAAAUUGACUGAGGGCAUACCAGAUUCUGUAUUGGGCUCCAUUGCAUACAUCCUUUCUUUAUGCCUCACAAAGUAUUCUUUCCUCUGGUUCUAUGCAUAGAGAAGUCAAUGUCAAAGCUAAGACUUGCCAGGGCCUGCAGCAAGGCCUCUAGGCCUUGCAGUAUGGAGACAGAAGAUUUGAACUCUGGUCAGCCUGCUCCAAGUCACUGUGUUUUGUCACCAAUUCCUCUAGAAGCUGUCCCUAAAACAGAUCUCUGCCCACAGCAGCCACCUGGACAGCACAUCCUUUUACUGACUUUUCCUUCUUGCUCUCUCAGAAUCGCCACUCCUUCCCUUCUACUUCCUUGGUUCAACCCCCAGAUAAACUACCUGAACAUACAUGCUUAUUGCAUACUUUCCUUUUGGGGUCUCCAAACUAAGACAUUUACUUAAAAUACCCACAGCUGCAGAAGGACCCAGUGGAGCAAGGCACUGUCCAGGUGCAGGCUUUCAUUUCCUUCUUAGAUCUUUAAGUUCCCCAGGGGCAAUUUCACUGUGUCCUGCUGGGCUAAACCUCUCCUGGGAGCUACACCUGACCCGGAGGUUUCACCUUCUUCACCUUCCUCACAGCUGGGCCUACGCAUGACCACGAGUGAGUCACAAGUGAAGAAUGGAGACAUUUCCCCUGGCUGCUGGGCUCUGGGUCCUCAAACCACACUUAUGUUUUUAUAUAUGUGUUGGGAUGAUUCAGCGGAAACUUCUGGUCAAACGGAUCACCAUAGCAACUUUCAGUAGACAUCCAGCAUGCAAAUUAGAGAGUGGAAAGAGACACUUUCUCAAUAGCCCCAAACCACCAUCCUCUGAACCCUUCAUGGAUUGAAUAGUAGAUACUUUGAAGGUUUAAACACAGUCAGCUUAAAUGCAGGGUCAACACCUGGCUGGGUCUGCUGGUAUCUUCAGAUGCUAAAACAAGAAGAACAAACUGGUUUCUACACUGAAUUGUGUGUCUAGCAGGGAAGACAUCCCAGCAGAGUUGGGGACAGAUUCACAUGUGCCCUGUGUCAUUCAUAAACCUCAAGAUCUUGGCCAAAUUAUGAGUUUGUAGAGUAAUUUGGCCAUAUUUGUGGCCAAAUUACUCUAACACUCUCCAAUUUGUAUGCUUUCUUUCGCAAAACUCAGCAACCUGCAUUUUCUGCUUAUUUACCCCAUGCCUGCAAUUGUCUUGCUUUUGAUUGCACAGUUCCUAGCUUGGAACGUUCUUGUUUCUCUAAGAUCUAGGGCUUUACAAAGCUCCAGGCUUUGCAGACUUUCCUUUUGGGGGCUCCAAUCUUAAAAUACCUGCAGCUAAACUUCUUUAAAAUGUCUUUAGGGAUAUGGUGUGUCUGAAAUAGUGAUUAGAAAGUGUUUCGCAUAUGUUAGUCUCUCAAUAAAUGGUAGUUACUGCUAAUAUUUUCUUUGGAACUUCUGAAGCCUAUUUUUUUCCUUUGGGCCUCAGUCUUUUAUUGAAUGUCAGUUGUAUGAAAAAUGUGAUGUGGAUAUCCAGGGAUACAAAUACCAACAUGGCGUCUGCUCUGAAGGAGCUCCAGGAGUGACUGAGAAGGAUGGAAAGCAGUUAUGGGUCUUAGGCAUUACUGGGGUAACUUGUGUUCAAAUUAAUCUUAAUGGAGGCCUCUCACUUAAAAGAACAGUCUAUGAUACACAGACUUCAACUUACAAAGCAAAUGGAGUGUUGGGGAAGAUGAAGUUAUUUCAACAUCUUAUUCACUGUGUUGGAUAAGAACACCUAUGGCUACAAGCAAUAAUCAAUUAACAGUGGCUUAGAAAAAUAAAGAUUAAUGCUCCCCCUCUCUAGCACGCGCACACACACACACAUGUGUAAAAGUACUUGGCUGCUUGUGUUAGUUCAUUGGGUUAAUAAUGUCAAAGCUAGCAUCUAAGCAAUUGUUAUAUCUUUUCCUUCUUGCUUAUCACCUUACCUUCCCAGGGUGGCUGUUGAAGUUCCAGCCAUCGUGUCUGCAUUCCAGGUAGUAGUAGAAAAAAAAGAGCAGAAAUUGAUGGUAGCAUUGAGCUGCUUGCAUUUUAUUGGUGAGAACUGAGUCACAUGACUAUUCCUGGCUAUAGUAGAAUCUGGAAAAGGAAUUGUUUUUUGGUGGAAACGCUUUGCCUACAUCAUAAGCUCCCAAAUGCAUGGACCUGGAGUAGAUCCUAUGGAUGAACAGAGAACUAGGCACAAGCCAUUCCUGACCUAAGGAACUCCUAGUCUAGCUGAGGAGGCUGGAUGCCAAUCAAACAAGAGCACAUGCCUUGAUUUAGAGCAUGGCAAGUUUCAAAUUGUCUCCAUCUGUCCUUCAAAUCCUUGGACAGCCUGAUGAGAAACCAGGCUUGGGCUGUCAGUUUGACUUGACCAGUGACCCCUAGGAGGAAGCACGUGUGUGACCCAAAUUGAAAGGGUAGGAAAGGAGCUAUACCAGGUUUUGCCUGUAGGCCUCCUGUCUCUUAGUCCUGCGCUCCACCCUUUUGCACAGCUCAGCUCUGAUGCAGGGGUUCAAGGGAAGUGGGUUGGGUAUGGAGGGAAGCAAGGCCCUGAUAGAGUGUUUAUGACCCUGGCUUUGUCUCUCCCAGGAAGAGUAGAAAGAUCAUUCACGUUCUUCGGUACAUGGGGUCCGAGGAGAGACAUGAAGAACAACAAAGAGCGUCUACUCCAUUUGGACCUCCAGGGCGCCCAAGGAGAACCAACUCCCUUGUGAUUCUAUUUGGUCGACACAUUUUGUAUCAUUUGUGUCCUGGCAGGAAGGUGUUCCCCCGGGUAAUAUGAGGAACAUUUUGAUCACGGGGAUGUUGACAAAGAGUAGCCUCAAGUAUAAGAAAAUCCUAAGGGAAAGUGUGAUUUUCUGGUGCUACCAUUUUCAGAGCACCUGAACCACCUCCUGCUGCUGGGGGAGGUAAGGAAAGGGAGGGAGUCCGAAAUUCAGAGAGAAAAUGAGAGGAGAGGAAUUGAGAGAGAGUGAGCAAGAAAGAGAGAGAAUGAGAGAGAGAAAGAGAAUGCUGGCUAAGUUGACAGUGCAGCCCACCCUGGUUUCUGAUCGCCUUCCAAUGUCUCUUGUAGGUCGGACCCAAAUGGAAACCUGGCCAAAGGGCCUGGGGAGGCCACUGAUCACAAAGAUGUGCCUCCCGGAGCACAGUGCUGGGUGGAGAAAGGCAGAGGAUAGAUCUGGAGAGAGGGACAAACAAAAGACAUUCAACACAAAUUUGCAUGAGAGCAAAGAGGUUGUUAACACACCCUUAGUCCUUUACCUCGUUACAAUAUCCCCAACAGUGAGUGUUCCAGAAGCUACCACAGAGCACUUGAAAGUGGGACUUAGGACAAAGCCCUUUUGCCAUGGGGUGCUCUGCUUUUGAAUGAGGCCUCUGAUUGCCACCGUCCUCCUCAUCCAGCCCAAGGUCUCCACUCUAGGACAAAAGGUAAGAAAUGCACUAUGGUGUAGUUCUCCUUUAAUAUCCUCCAGAUAGUUAUGCUUUGGUGAUAGACACUCAGGGCCAGUUUUGUCGCUGUAUUCUUUUCAUCAAUCAAUGAUAUACUUGAAAUUGUAAGAACAUGCAUUUCGCUAAGUGACUUGGGUUGAAUGAAGGGACACUUUUUAUACAUUUUUGGGAAACUUGUUCAAGUCUUUCAUUGUAGUGCAGCAAAGAACCACAUGAUUUGCAGAGUCAGCAGAUGUUUAAAACAAAACAUCUACAAGAGGAAGGAGAAAAUAUAUAUGCAUAUCAAUUAUAUAUAUGUAUCAUGUAUAUUGAUACACAUGUGUGUAUUCAUUUACUGACUUGCCCUAAUUGACCAACUCAGUCAAAACAGAGGUUACAGUAGCCACAUCCACGGGGUUAAUUUGUUUUUCACAAUACCGGUGAAAAGUGAUGUCAGAAGCUUCUGUGCCAUUCUCCGGAGCUGCGCCUGCCCUAAGGACUAGGUGUAGGUUUUUGCUGCUUGGGAAAUAGGUUGUUAGGAGUGGUCAGGCGCACUCCCAGAGACACUUCAGGCUCCACUUUUCAGAGGAUCACUGUUAAUUCCGACACCAAGUUUCAGGUUUGGCAAGAGGCACAUAAAAAUAUUCUCAAGGUAUAAUAAUAGAAAAAAAAUCCAAGCUUCAAGGAGGAUCAGCUUUGCCUCUCCCAACUUGCCUCUGCAGACAUAAAAAGGGUGGGACUUUUUGGGAGAAGGCGUUGUCUCUGGCAAGAGACACAAGGCACCAGAUAGCAUCAUUUGAGAUAUUAACACAGUGGUAGAGGGAGAGAGAGAAAGAGACCAGUUUAUGAGGAGAGGUUUCCAGUAUGGCACACACCAGUGAAUUGAGACGACAUUCUACAGGAGCAAGUUCAUUUAUCUCAUAAGCAUUCACUGGGCACCUUCUGCGUGUCAAGCUCCGCGUGGCAUACCAUUUCCUGCCCUCCAGGAGGUGUUAAACAGAUGGACAGACAGACACCAGCAAAUCAGAGAUCCCAGUGUGAGUCAUCAUGUAGCCUGUGAUACAGGGAAGUGCAGGACGCCCCAGAAUUGGUGCCAGGUUGCAUCACAGGCAGAAAGAUCUGGGCUUCAGAUAUCAGCAAAGCAUUUCUCCCUCCCCCAACUCCAAAUAGCUCUGUUGACAGCAACUUAAAACACAAAUCAAAGUCAUUAUCGUGGGAAAAGCUGAACUUCACUGGAUUUUGUUUACUUCUCUUAAGUCUGAUAUUGUUUCUAUUUUUAAUUACAUGGAGGGUGACCAUCUUUCAUCUUCCAGUUCUCAGAGUCUCUAAAAGGCUGAAUCCACCCACACUUGGAAGCACAGAAUCCCCUCUCCGUCCGAACCUGGGGUUUUGGGGAAGAUACUAGAGAGCGGGUGAUACCUGAAAUGUAUCAUGCUCUAAAACAAGACAGACAGGGUAUGCUGAGGGGAAGGAACAGUGAUAGAGAUGCCUGGAUAUUAGCAUCCUUGACUGACAAUCCUAGGGUUUCCAAGCCCCCUCUUCCCAUUUCACAUCCAAGUGUCCUUUGGGAUAGGAAACAGGAGGUGACAGCUGUGGGUCAGUAGUGUUUCAGUUAGAUGGCACUGUCUAGCCCUCAGCUUAAAGUCUGGCCUGGAGUGAGGGCUCUGGAAAUGUACGAUUAUUGUUGCUGUGGCCAUUCAUCUUCUUAUUGAUACUUAUCUCUUGGAAUAGAGAGCAUCAACAUUCCUGCUCCACAUUUUAAGAGGCUGCGUGGUGCCGUCAGGAUUCCACGCUCACACACAGAUUCACUCACUGAGCAUUCACGCAAUGAAAACUCCUUCCAUGGUGCUGGGUCUUGGAGCAGAGCCAUGCUCUGGGUCUCACCUGGACUUCAGCCUUCUCCCUCCAGAGGAAGGCACUUAGGCAGAAGAGUCUGGGGGUUACUUCCAACAUGGGACAAGACCUCGGAGAAUGAAGAUGCACAGGAGAAUUUCACCAGCGACCCAGAACUCACACAGUGAAGGAAUCCCACGGUUGUCUAGCUACCUCACAAUAAAAAUGCCCUCCACAAACUCUCCCAAAUGAAUCUUAUCCUGAAACCAGCACAUCAUUUUUUGCUGUUUGCAAACUUGCUUUCAGGCACAUUACUGACAGAACACUAGCAAAUGCCGAGGAGUCAGACGGGGAAGUAACAUUUAUGGCAUGUCUGUUAUGUGCCAAACCCUGGCAUUUCAUAUACAUGAUCACCCUUCAUCUUUAAAACUCUAGGUGUUAGGUGGAAUUGCCUCCUCAAAUUAUAGAUGAAAAACUGAUACCCAGAGAGGUUAAUUCAUUUCCCGGACAUCACAGAGCACACAAGAGCCUUGUUAGAACUUAGCUCUGCCCUGCAUUAUUUGGAGCUUUUCUUCUUCUCCUAUGUGAUGCAAAAUUGGACCAGGAAAAUUGCCCUGGACUUCUGCCAAUGGACCUCUAAGAAACCACACAGGAAAUAGGAUAUAUGCUACCUCCAUAAACUAGCUGCUUUCCAUGGGUUUUUAAUGGCAUCUAUGUUAUUAUCGGGAGAAUUCCAAGUAUACUUUUAACCAGAUAGACCUCAGACUUUAACCUAGCGGGUCUGGAGAUUGUAGCAAGACCUUAGGUUGGCUGGGCCAGGGGAGGUGAUAACACCAGGUAGGUGGAUGAUGCCAGAAGAAAGCCAAGUAAAUAUUUGCUAAGGCAAGUACUAUAUGGGGGUGACUUAGAAGGUUCUAGUGGUCCUGGAGCAGUGGACUAUAUGACCAGUACAUCAUUAACCAUUUCUGGAUACCACAGAUCCAACCAGAUCGCCUCGGAAGGAAACCAGCCUGUGUUCAGAGUAAACAGUUAACUCUUCUGGGCUGGAAGAAAUGAUUAUUCAAAAGUUGGUCCCCACAUACAAAUGCAAAUGACAUCCUGAGACACAUGAAUGCUAAUUUCUCCAACGAAGUCUGUAGACAAAUGCUAGUCAUUAGAAACAUUUCCGUGCAUUUAUAUUAGGCUGUCCUCUAAAAGACUUUUUAGACAAAUAUGUCAUCAAGAUAUUCAAAACCAUGUAAUCUUAUCCAAAGUUUCAUCUAUCAACAGUACAGUCUUCGUCUCUUGCAGCUGUGUGUCAGAAUGCGCGGGGAGAUUACUCAGCUGAUGUGGCUGAGCCGGGGAGGGGCCGUAGAUUUGGGGGUCCACAUAGCUCCCCAGCAGGAGGGUCUGGGUUUCCAGGUGGGCCAGGCCUUUUAGCCACAGGUGAGUGAUCUGAGGUGGGUGAAGGAUGACCCCUAACAGAUAAAGAGAAGGAUUCAGGGGGAGGCUCCUUCUCGUGGGCACUCUCCACCAGGCUGCCCUUGCCUAUGAGUGCUACUGAGAUGACAGACUAAAUAAAGGCAGAGUAGCUGGGAGUUCCAGAUCUUGUCUUCACCACCUUCUGCAAGGCAAAACCUCAGGCUUGUAGACCGCUCCCAGGGAGGCUGAAGGUGAGGGGAGAUGGUUAGACUGAAAUGACAGCACUUUCAAGCACUCGAUGGGAAGGCUGGGCUUUAGGUCAUGUCUCUGUGUUUGUGCCUGUUUACUUCUCUCUCCUCUUCCCUUCUCUUCUGCCCUCUCCUCCCCUCUUCUGCUGUCUCCUCCCACCCUCUUCCCUUUCUUCCUCUUCCCUUUCCUCCCAUCCUUCCUCUCUUCUUUUCGGGAAAGGGUGUUUGUUAAAACAGGUGCUCAGAGGAAGCCUUUGUGAUAUCCCUGGGGAUUCAGAUAUUACUCUUAUUUGGUUGUUUCCUGAGGUUGGGUCACUUUAUUUAGUGUGUGAAUGGAUGGUGGCUUUUGGUACUGAAGCAAUAACAUUUUUCUUGAUGAAUUAUGUGAUAAUAUAAACCCCUCAAAUAAUUUAUUUAUCUGUUAAUCCACUCAUUCAUCAACAUGAAUAUUCAUCUACUUAUUUGAACAUUUAUCCAUCCAUCCAUCCAUUUAUCCUCUACCUAUCGAUAACAAUGUCUGAAGAAUGCAAGAGUGUAUGGCAUUACUAUUAUCCCAUUUUGUGGUUGAGGCAUAGAGAGGUUAAAAUAUUGGACCAAGACCGCCCAGCUAAUAAGGGAUGGUGCUGAGACUGACUCAUCUGUUCUCUGGUUCACUGCAUUUAAUCCAUUAACAACCAUUUCGUGAAUGUCUGCCUUACAUCAGUUAUGAUGGGAGGGUAAAAUUUUCUCAGACUUGUCCCUGCCCUUGAGGAGUUCACAGUCAUGAAUCAGAGCCAAAUAUCAUGACUCUGGCUAUGAGACUGGCAAUGAGCUGCAUGUCCUGUAAAGGUGUGGCCCAAAUGCAAUGGCAGCUGUAAGCUGUUGCAAAAAUCCACCAGCUGAGGUGCCUGGAGUGGAAGUGACAUUGUCAGGGGUGGCCAAGUGUCAUGGUUCUCACCAUCCAACUUCCAUGGAAACACCAUCCCAAGGGUACCUUCUGUUUACAAACGCAUGGCCUGUGAAUCUCAUCCUAACAGCUGCUCCUUUGCAAGGGGAUUCAGGAAAGGACAGGCCUGGAUGAGGCCCAGCUCCUCUGUAGAUGGGCAUUGUAUAGCUACACUGUUCUCCAGAUAGCACUUCUUAGAGCUGAGGAUAUAAUCUGUGACUCUUGGCUCAUGCCUGCCAAGGGCACGGAUAUGUCUAGAAAGCAUCAGUAAAUUGUGGAAGGCAUCCUGAGUGGAGGAAACAGUUUCUAUGAAGACACACGGGCUUGAGUGAUGAUGGCAUGAUAGAGUAAGCUGGUUUCUGUUAUUGACACACAGGUAACAUAU